GGGGGGUUAGCUCAGUUGGUAGAGCGCUUGAAUGGCAUUCAAGAGGUCACGGGUUCGACUCCCGUAUCCUCCA
rnacentral:tRNA from 1 species